rnacentral:rRNA from 1 species
CCUGGUUAUUGAAGCGAUUUGGUACCACCCUUUCCCAUCCCGAACAAGGUCGUGAAACAAGUCAGCGCCUAUGAUACUUUUUGAUCCAAUCGAAAGGGAAAGUAGGUCGUAGCCCGGA